CCUACGGGAGGCAGCAGUGGGGAAUAUUGGGCAAUGGACGCAAGCCUGACCCAGCAACGCCGCGUGAAGGAAGAAGGCCUUCGGGUUGUAAACUUCUUUUAUGGGGGAAGAGCAGAAGACGGUACACAUUGAAUAAGCCACGGCUAACUACGUGCCAGCAGCCGCGGUAAUACGUAGGUGGCAAGCGUUGGACGAAUUUGCUUGGUGGAAAGGGCGUGAAGCUGGGAAGACAAGUCAGAUGUGAAAUCCCGCGGCUCAACCGCGGAACUGCAUUUGAAACUGGUUUUCUUGGGUAUCGGAGAGGUAAUCGGAAUUCCUAGUGUAGCGGUGAAAUGCGUAGAUAUUAGGAAGAACACCAGUGGCGGAGGCGGAUUACUGGACGACAACUGACGGUGAGGCGCGAAAGCGUGGGGAGCAAACAGGAUUAGAUACCCGAGUAGUC
rnacentral:rRNA from 1 species